AGCAGUCGCCACGGUAACACGUAGGGUGCAAGCGUUAAUCGGAAUUACUGGGCGUAAAGCGUGCGCAGGCGGUUCGCUAAGACAGAUGUGAAAUCCCCGGGCUUAACCUGGGAACUGCAUUUGUGACUGGCGGGCUAGAGUAUGGCAGAGGGGGGUAGAAUUCCACGUGUAGCAGUGAAAUGCGUAGAGAUGUGGAGGAAUACCGAUGGCGAAGGCAGCCCCCUGGGCCAAUACUGACGCUCAUGCACGAAAGCGUGGGGAGCAAACAGGAUUAGAUACCCCCGUAGUCCCUGUCUCUUAUAA
rnacentral:rRNA from 1 species